GAUGAACGCUAGCGACAGGCUUAACACAUGCAAGUCGAGGGGCAGCGGGGUAGUUGGCUUGCCAACUAUUGCCGGCGACCGGCGCACGGGUGAGUAACGCGUAUGCAACUUACCUAUCAGAGGGGGAUAGCUCAUCGAAAGAUGAAUUAAUACCGCAUAAAACAGGGGCUCCGCAUGGAGAUAUUUGGUAAAGAAUUAUUGCUGAUAGAUAGGCAUGCGUUCCAUUAGCUAGUUGGCGGGGUAACGGCCCACCAAGGCGACGAUGGAUAGGGGUUCUGAGAGGAAGGUCCCCCACAUUGGUACUGAGACACGGACCAAACUCCUACGGGAGGCAGCAGUGAGGAAUAUUGGUCAAUGGGCGCGAGCCUGAACCAGCCAAGUCGCGUGAAGGAAGAAGGAUCUAUGGUUUGUAAACUUCUUUUAUAGGGGAAUAAAGUUAGGAACGUGUUCCUAUUUGUAUGUACCCUAUGAAUAAGCAUCGGCUAACUCCGUGCCAGCCGCCGCAGUAACAC
rnacentral:rRNA from 1 species